CGGGAGCGGCGCCGACGGAGCCACGUGCUCCCCGCCGAGCCGCCGCCCGGAGAGAGAUCACUGUACAGGAGUAGUUCUCUUCAUCUCUAAGAAUGGACAUGGCGAGUGCAUUCCAUUGGUAUGGAGAGAGUGUGUGGGGGCAUAAAUUUGAGUUGUGUGAAGAAUACAUUCCAUUGGGUGCAUAUCCGGACCAUGAAGGAUCGCUCUGAGUCAGAAGCAGAAAAUGAGGAGCCAUGUUCUUCUUGACCUCUAGGUGAAAAGGAGAGCCAUUUCUUUUUCCUCAUUUGAGCACAACAGAACUCCCCUGUACAUCUGCCAUGAAUACACCUGCUUCAAGCCACAGAAACUUCAAGAAGGAUUUUUGAAUUUCAGAAUUGAAGAAAAGGCAUCGUAGACUUUCUGUGAAAUGUCAUGCAAUCUAGUUAGACAAACAAGCCUGAAUGGCUUCUCUCUCAAUAGCCUUUUGAUUAUAUAAACGAAUCAAAAAACAGACAUGUAUGUUCUCAGACCCCUUUCCAAACUGUAGAGAAUAAACCAGAAAGAUCUUUA